GCUUACGGCCCAACCACCUUAGGCACGCCCGAUCUCGUCUGAUCUCGGAAGCUAAGCAGGGUCGGGCCUGGUUAGUUACUUGGAUGGGUGACCGCCUGGGAAUACCAGGUGCUGUAAGCA
ensembl:rRNA 5S_rRNA 5S ribosomal RNA